GCAUGGACUGGUUGGACCGA
rnacentral:miRNA from 1 species